rnacentral:rRNA from 1 species
GUGGGGAAUCUUCCGCAAUGGACGAAAGUCUGACGGAGCGACGCCGCGUGAGUGAAGAAGGCCUUCGGGUCGUAAAGCUCUGUCAUCAGGGACGAACGGCCGGUGGAGUGGAAAGCCACCGGAUUGACGGUACCUGAGAAGGAAGCCACGGCUAACUACGUGCCAGCAGCCGCGGUAAUACGUAGGUGGCAAGCGUUGUCCGGCAUUAUUGGGCGUAAAGCGCGCGCAGGUGGGAUCUUAAGUCCAUUUUUAAAGUUCGGAGCUCAACUCCGUGAUGGGAUGGAAACUGGGAUUCUUGAGUACCGGAGAGGAAAGCGGAAUUCCCCGUGUAGCGGUGAAAUGCGUAGAUAUGGGGAGGAACACCAGUGGCGAAGGCGGCUUUCUGGACGGUGUCUGACACUGAGGCGCGAAAGCCAGGGGAGCGAACGGGAUUAGAAACCCUUGUAGUCC